rnacentral:lncRNA from 1 species
AGAGAGGCUGUGAGGGUGGCUUUGUGAGGAUGGCUUUGUGUGGCUGCACAUUGCCCUUGGCCAAGCCCCGCUGCCAGGAGAGGCAGCUCGGCUGCCAAACCUCCUGAACCCAAGUUACCUGAGCAAGCAGCCCUAUCCCCUCGCCUGCUUCUCACUGCCUCGCCUGCCUUGGGCCUGCCCGACCCAGGGGGUCACAUGCCUUGUUCCCCAUCAGUGGAGACCAGGGACAAGAAGACAGUUCUGUGGGAAGAGCCAGGAGGACCAUUUGGGAAAAUACAGGUUCCAGGUGUGUCUCCAGACCUUGAGAGUUGGUGUCUCCUGGGAAGAGGCCCUGAUGAGAUCUGGGGAGAUUCGGAUCUGAUGAGAUUCAGGAAGCCCUGGCCUCUCCGUACUUGAGGAGACGGGACACACAGGACAAGCUGCAGGCUGGUGAGCAGAUUUUAUCUAAUCAGGAUUCCAGAGCACAAGACAAAUGGCCUCACGUCCGGCUGGGAGGUGUAAUUCAUUCUCCUGGGUUCACCUUCUAUUUUGAAGACCCGCUUCUUCCUCAGGUACCUGAUCUUGAAAACGACCUCCCCUUUCAGUUCUGGAGGCCAGAAGCCCAAAAUCAGUCUCGCUGGGCUAACGUGAAGGUGUCAGUCGGGCUGGUUCCUUCUGGAGGCUCCAGAAAAGAAUCUGUUUUCUUGCCUUUUCUGGCUCAGUUUCUCGGCUUGUGGCUCCUUCCUCCAUCUUCAAAGAGCACCACUCCAAUCUGCUCCUCCAUCAGGUCACCUUCUGCCUGACUCCUACAUCCCUUUCAGAAGGACCCUUGUGAUUCCAUGAGGUCCACCCAGAUCACGCAGGAUAAUGUCCCCGUCUCAAGAGGCUUAAUCUAAUCACAGUGAAAACCAUUUCCUCCUCGUCGUGGCGCAGGUCCAGAGGCUGCGCCCAUCUCUCCCACGUCAACAGUCCUGUGUCCUUGGCGAAGGACUGUUCUCUCAUUCAGUGCCUUUCCUCUCUUCCUGGGCCAAAUCCCUGCUUUGCGUCUCCCUGCAGCUCAUAAAAAGCUGAAUUACCUGAGGCAGGGAAAGCCCCACCCACUGUCAUUCUCAGGGAGGAGUGGAGUCUGCAGAGGCCGCAAUGCACAGCUUCCCUAUCCCCCUCCACCCGUGUUUUCCCAGAGCAGCUCUGUUCCAGGCCCGGGGGUGUCCCUGGGCCGAGAUGGAAUCCAGCCCUGACCACCUCCCAAAGCCAACAGCCCUGAGUGAGCGUGCAGAGAAGCAAGAGCUGUUCCUGAUGCAGAGCAAAGACAUCUCCCAGUCAAGGGGGAUGAACUGAUUUGGGACAAAAGGCAGUUGUUGGCUGAGGAAGGCAGGAUCUGGGGGAGCCCUGUGCUGAGUGGAGGUGGGUGGGUGUAUUUCCUUGGCUCACAGAGGCCUCUUGUCUGGUGGGAUCAGCUCCUCCAGCCAGUUGCCACCUGGUCCAGCUUUGGGAGAUGUGGAGAAUGACUUUCGCAGUGAUUUCCACUGGGCCAUGGCAUUGAAACAGCUGCAGGAGGGGACACAGCUGGUGCCACCCCUACUCCGUCCAUUAGAGCUGCUGUGAAGGAAUGCCACCCUCCCCAUGGGGAGUGAGGGGGCCCUACUUGCUGUGGUUGGUUCCAGGGACCAUGGGAAGAGGCAAACCCCUAUUUUCAAGGGCACAAGUUGGCUUUUAUUAAAAUAAAAUUUCAUCAUCAC